UCAAUGUAUAAGAAAGAUGAAUAAAUCAUUUUUCCAACUGUAAUAAGAUCAUUGCAUUUUAAUUACUGAGCCAGGAGAAUCUUUCCUCGGAGCAGAUGUUGAACCCAGGUCAUCUGGGAGAACACCAGGCAAACUCACCAAUAUAAGAUGACCGAAAAGCAGCCUGUGAGGAAAGAUCCUUUUACAAGAUUUUAAGCAGAGGUCUUGUAAUUAAAAGGCACAGGUCUUUUUUGUGGUCCACGGAAGGAAACCCAGGCUCCUUUGCGUUUUAAGCCUUCAUUCGGCAUCCCAGUCCAGUGAGAAGGAAGAGAACCAGCCUCAAACCCUGGACAGGGUCUCCUUGGCUGCCUUUCAAUUCAGUUCAUGUCGAGCAGCUACCUGAUUGGGCUCUGUCUCCAGCCCUGCCUCCUGUGAGUACUUGAAGACAUGGAAGACACGUCUAUCGAUGUCAACCAUAGAAGACAUGGUUGACAACCUUGGGGAAUUUACAAUCCCAUAUAAGAAAACAGCCAACAAAAGGACCAAGAUGUUUGGAUGUUUGCAAGGUGACUUCAGGAUCAUUUAUUAUUCUGUAACCCGGCAAGGAUCAUAUCAGGGCCUACUUCAUGCGCGAGGUGGUGGCACGAGGGUUAAAAUGAAAUCAUACGAAAAGAACUUAGCACCAUGCCAGGCACACUAUACGUACUUAAAAAUAUUAUCUGUGACAUCGUGACUAUUAUAGUUAUUAUGCUACAUGACAGGUCUUUUUUCUUGGCUUCAUCAGCCUGAGACUGAAAUAGUCAUAACAACAGAAAUGAAGAAAGUA